UUGUUAAAUAUAUCUGCACAAUAGUAUGCUGGACUGUCUGCCAAUGUCCACACCUACUAUGUCAGGAUACAUUUGAAUAGCGGAAUGAUGGACUUAUGAGUGAUUGUAUCAG